UACGUAGGGUGCGAGCGUUUAAUCGGAAUUACUGGGCGUAAAGCGUGCGCAGGCGGUUUUGUAAGCCGGAUGUGAAAUCCCCGGGCUUAACCUGGGAAUGGCAUUCGGGACUGCAAAGCUGGAGUGCGGCAGAGGAGACUGGAAUUCCUGGUGUAGCAGUGAAAUGCGUAGAUAUCAGGAGGAACACCGAUGGCGAAGGCAGGUCUCUGGGCUGACACUGACGCUCAUGCACGAAAGCGUGGGGAGCAAAC
rnacentral:rRNA from 1 species